GAUGAACGCUGGCGGCGUGCCUAAUACAUGCAAGUCGAGCGAACAGACGAGGAGCUUGCUCCUCUGACGUUAGCGGCGGACGGGUGAGUAACACGUGGAUAACCUACCUAUAAGACUGGGAUAACUUCGGGAAACCGGAGCUAAUACCGGAUAAUAUAUUGAACCGCAUGGUUCAAUAGUGAAAGACGGUUUUGCUGUCACUUAUAGAUGGAUCCGCGCCGCAUUAGCUAGUUGGUAAGGUAACGGCUUACCAAGGCAACGAUGCGUAGCCGACCUGAGAGGGUGAACGGCCAAACUGGAACUGAGACACGGUCCAGACUCCUACGGGAGGCAGCAGUAGGGAAUCUUCAGCAAUGGGCGAAAGCCUGACGGAGCAACGCCGCGUGAGUGAUGAAGGUCUUCGGAUCGUAAAACUCUGUUAUUAGGGAAGAACAAAUGUGUAAGUAACUAUGCACGUCUUGACGGUACCUAAUCAGAAAGCCACGGCUAACUACGUG
rnacentral:rRNA from 1 species